rnacentral:lncRNA from 1 species
GCAAAAUGCAAAAAAAAAAAAAAACCUGCUUUCUUCAAACAAAAAAAAAUUGCAGGGGGAAAAAUAGACAGAAUGAGGAAGCAGUAUAUGAAAUAAUCAAAUUAAAAACUGAGGGCAGAGGUGUGGUAACACAGGUCUAUAAUCCUGGGGCUUUGGGAGGCUGAGGCAGGAGGAUUUCUUGAGCCCAGGAGUUGAAGGCUGAAGUAAGCCACAAUCAUGCCACUGCACUCCAGCCUGGAUGACCCAGUCAGACUCUUGUCUCUGCAGAAUAUAAUAAUAAUUUUCAUUUAAAAACUAACUGGGAGCUUUUAAAAAAAUUGCAAAUGGGAGGCAGGACUAGCUUGUGGCUCCACUCAGAGCAGCAUAUGGAGACUUGUAAACUUUUGCUCCAAGAAUGACCACAGAAACAUACCAGGAAAGCUCAGAGAAUCUACAGACCCUUUGAAGGAAGCAGCUUGCUGCUGCAGACUCCAUAAGACAGUUGAAAAGCUGUAAGUGCCCAAAGUGCAAAAGGGGAAACAUCCACCCCCCUCCCAAUACACAUCCUCACUGGGGUACCUGAAGGUCCAGAUCAUGGGAGAAGGAUUUAACCUUUCCUGGAGCUGAGACAAAUAUAAGAGAUGAGCGAAAUAUAGGAAUAGAGGAAGCAGAGGAAAGAGCCCCGUGGGCACUCUUGGUCCCCAGGGAAGCCAUUGUUGACUUUGUCUCAGAGGGGUCCAUGGGGAGAGAUGCCACUAGAAUUGGGGAAAGACUACAGGGAGAAGGAAACUUCCAGCUGAACUUUGUAACAAUUUCAAGUAAACUCAAAGUUUCCUGGACAGAAUCUGGGAAAGGGGUGACCCAGGAGAGAAGAUACAGCACAGAAACUGGGGCAGGUGGGGAGGCACAAAUCCUGAAAGCUGCUUGCUUUCUCAGUGGAGAGGCUUGGAGCCUGAGACAAGUUUUCAGCCCUGCUCACCGGCUGCCUGGAAAUAAACUCAGUGCUAUUGGGGUGCACAGUGAAAGUGAGACCAGCCUUUCAGGCUGCGUUGGAGCUGGAUGAGGCCUGUCACUGCGGCCUUUCCCACUUCCCUGGCCACCUGUAUGAUGCAGAAGAGGCAGCCAUAAUCCCCCUGAGAACACAACUCCACUGGGCUGAGAACCACAACCCCAUACCCCACAGGGGCUGAAGCAGGCCCUGCCCAAGAAGAGUCUGAGCUAAAACAUGCCUAACCCUGCCCUCACCUGAAGGUCUCUCUCUACCUGCCCUGGUAGCCAAAGACAAAGAACAUAGUCUCUUGGGAACUCUAUGCCCCAAACCACAGCCUGAGACACCCAAAUACUUAUCCAAGCAACCCUAGGGCAAGCUUGUAUUCUCCCUAUACUACUGCAGCUGAUGCUCUCUUGAAAGCACCACUUCCUGGCUGGAGGCCAACCAACAGAAAACGAGUAUGCUAAAUAAAAAUACAACCAAGGACCCUCACAGAGUCCACUUCACUCCCCUGCUACCUGCACCAGAGCAGGUGCUGGUAUCCACUGCUGAGAGUCCUGAAAAUGGAUCACAUCACAGGAAAUGGAUCAUAUCACAGGACUCUUUGCAGACACUCCCCAGUACCAGCCCAGAGCCCAGUAUCUCCACUAGGUGGCUAGACUGAGAAGAGCAGUAACAAUCACUGCAGUCCAGCUCUCAGGAAGCCCUAUCCCUAGGGGAAGAGGGAGAGCACCACAUCAAAGGAGCACCCUAUGGGACACAAGAAUGUGAACAGCAGCCCUUAAGUCAAAUAUCUUCCCCCUGACAUAAUCUACCCAAAUGAGAAGGAACCAGAAAAAACAGUUCUGGUAAUAUGACAAAACAAGAUUCUUUAACACCCCCAAAAAAAUCACAUUAGCUUACCAGCAAUGGAUCAAAACCAAGAAAAAAA